rnacentral:siRNA from 1 species
AUAGGAACCCCGCUCCCGUGAGAC